rnacentral:rRNA from 1 species
ACGGGAGACACACGGCGGGUGCUAACGUCCGUCGUGAAGAGGGAAACAACCCAGACCGCCAGCUAAGGUCCCAAAGUCAUGGUUAAGUGGGAAACGAUGUGGGAAGGCCCAGACAGCCAGGAUGUUGGCUUAGAAGCAGCCAUCAUUUAAAGAAAGCGUAAUAGCUCACUGGUCGAGUCGGCCUGCGCGGAAGAUGUAACGGGGCUAAACCAUGCACCGAAGCUGCGGCAGCGACGCUUAUGCGUUGUUGGGUAGGGGAGCGUUCUGUAAGCCUGCGAAGGUGUGCUGUGAGGCAUGCUGGAGGUAUCAGAAGUGCGAAUGCUGACAUAAGUAACGAUAAAGCGGGUGAAAAGCCCGCUCGCCGGAAGACCAAGGGUUCCUGUCCAACGUUAAUCGGGGCAGGGUGAGUCGACCCCUAAGGCGAGGCCGAAAGGCGUAGUCGAUGGGAAACAGGUUAAUAUUCCUGUACUUGGUGUUACUGCGAAGGGGGGACGGAGAAGGCUAUGUUGGCCGGGCGACGGUUGUCCCGGUUUAAGCGUGUAGGCUGGUUUUCCAGGCAAAUCCGGAAAAUCAAGGCUGAGGCGUGAUGACGAGGCACUACGGUGCUGAAGCAACAAAUGCCCUGCUUCCAGGAAAAGCCUCUAAGCAUCAGGUAACAUCAAAUCGUACCCCAAACCGACACAGGUGGUCAGGUAGAGAAUACCAAGGCGCUUGAGAGAACUCGGGUGAAGGAACUAGGCAAAAUGGUGCCGUAACUUCGGGAGAAGG